UGCUCAUGCUGAGUACUGUACUGUAUGUGUGUGUGUUCAUAUACAAUUCAAUCUAAUAAUACAAAAAAAAAUCUCAAUUUGAAUUUGUGUGGAAGCCUAAAUUGACAAACACUAAACAUCGAGAAAACUGGAGCAUAAUUGGCAUGAUUGUAUUUCUGAAAAUUAAUAAUAUUGUCCAUUGUAUGGCAACUACCCGGAGAGAGAUCCUGUGUCUUGUCCACAACAAUACCCUGUGGUGUUUGUUGGUCUGGAGUGUGUGAAUCUGCAUAUGGUUUAGAAAAAACCGACCAGAUUUGACAACCAGACUGACCUCCAUACAUCACUUUUGGAUCAAGUUUCAAGCAGAUGAUCUCUCUUCGUUAAACUAAACUCAAUACUGUACCUGCUGUAACAAGCAAGCAAAGCAACAAUUCGACACUUUCACAAGUAAAGCAAGCUGCCAGGAGAGAGACUGUGUUUGACUAAAAUAAUAGAUCAUGACACCAUCUUGUGACUCCAUCUCUCAGCGUCAUGCUGAAAAACACAACCAUCAACAAUCCUGACGUUUGGGUCAAGUGACAAAACUGAUAAUCUCUCCUUGAAUAACAUAAAAAUGUUCAUUCACUUCAAAAGAAAACUGAAUAAAUGAUGAACUGCAAA